rnacentral:rRNA from 1 species
GUGUCAGCCGCCGCGGUAAGACGAACCGAGCGAACGUUGUUCGGAAUCACUGGGCUUAAAGGGCGCGUAGGCGGGCGAUCAAGUCAGGGGUGAAAGCCUCCAGCUCAACUGGAGAAGUGCCUCUGAUACUGGCCGUCUCGAGGGAGGUAGGGGCGUGCGGAACUUCCGGUGGAGCGGUGAAAUGCGUAGAUAUCGGAAGGAACACCGGUGGCGAAAGCGGCGCGCUGGACCUCUUCUGACGCUGAGGCGCGAAAGCCAGGGGAGCGAACGGGAUUAGAAACCCCAGUAGUCC